rnacentral:lncRNA from 1 species
CUUUUCGAGGUAGGAGUCGACUCCUGUGAGGUAUGGUGCUGGGUGCAGAUGCAGUGUGGCUCUGGAUAGCACCUUAUGGACAGUUGUGUCCCCAAGGAAGGAUGAGAAUAGCUACUGAAGUCCUAAAGAGCAAGCCUAACUCAAGCCAUUGGCACACAGGCAUUAGACAGAAAGCUGGAAGUUGAAAUGGUGGAGUCCAACUUGCCUGGACCAGCUUAAUGGUUCUGCUCCUGGUAACGUUUUUAUCCAUGGAUGACUUGCUUGGGUAAGGACAUGAAGACAGUUCCUGUCAUACCUUUUAAAGGUAUGGAGAGUCGGCUUGACUACACUGUGUGGAGCAAGUUUUAAAGAAGCAAAGGACUCAGAAUUCAUGAUUGAAGAAAUGCAGGCAGACCUGUUAUCCUAAACUAGGGUUUUUAAUGACCACAACAAGCAAGCAUGCAGCUUACUGCUUGAAAGUCUUGUCUUAUUUUUUGAGACAGGGUCUUGCCUCACCCAAGCUAGAGUGCAGUGGCCUUUGAAGCUUACUACAGCCUCAAACUUCUGGGCUCAAGUGAUCCUCAGCCUCCCAGUGGUCUUUGUAGACUGCCUGAUGGAGUCUCAUGGCACAAGAAGAUUAAAACAGUGUCUCCAAUUUUAAUAAAUUUUUGCAAUCCA